rnacentral:tmRNA from 1 species
CCCCUUUUAAUUACGGCCACAUAGGACUAUAUCAAGGAUGCUGGUUUUCCGGCUAUGGCGAUAAAUGGACAGUGCAAUAAGCCUAUCGGACCCGGGGGCGGUACCCGGCGCCUCCACCCAAGCGCACCGCGGCAAGUCAGUCACUUGGUGCGUUUCGGCGGGGGCGAAAUAGGAUCGACGAGGGUGUAAAGACUGCGCUUUUGCUCGGCAUGGUACCACCGAUAUCGGACCAUAUCAGUAGUUGCAAAUGACAACACUGCUUCGGACAUGGCUGUUGCUGCGUAACGCAGUACCGGUAGUCCAUUUAAGUCCUUGUGGUUAGCACCGUAAGGCGGGGUUCGGAGGCACCUGGCAACAGAAGCCUCCACU